UACAGAGGGUGCGAGCGUUAAUCGGAAUUACUGGGCGUAAAGCGUGCGUAGACGGUCAUGUAAGUCGGGUGUGAAAGCCCCGGGCUCAACUUGGGAAUUGCAUUCGAGACUGCAUGGCUAGGGUGCGGAAGAGGGAAGCGGAAUUUCCGGUGUAGCGGUGAAAUGCGUAGAUAUCGGAAGGAACACCAGUGGCGAAAGCGGCUUCCUGGUCCAGCACCGACGUUCAGGCACGAAAGCGUGGGGAGCAAACAGG
rnacentral:rRNA from 1 species